CCUGCCGUAUGCAGGGGGAUAACAGUUAGAAAUGACUGCUAAUACCGCAUAAGCGCACAGUAUCGCAUGAUACAGUGUGAAAAACGAUAGUGGCAUACGAUGGACCCGCGUCUGAUUAGCUAGUUGGCGGGGUAACGGCCCACCAAGGCGACGAUCAGUAGCCGGCCUGAGAGGGUGAACGGCCACAUUGGAACUGAGACACGGUCCAAACUCCUACGGGAGGCAGCAGUGGGGGAUAUUGCACAAUGGGGGAAACCCUGAUGCAGCGACGCCGCGUGAGUGAAGAAGUAUUUCGGUAUGUAAAGCUCUAUCAGCAGGAAAGAUAAUGACGGUACCUGACUAAAAGCACCGGCUAAAUACGUGCCAGCAGCCGCGGUAAUACGUAUGGUGCAAGCGUUAUCCGGAUUUACUGGGUGUAAAGGGAGCGCAGACGGCAUGGCAAGCCAGAUGUGAAAGGUGGGGGCUCAACCCCCAAGCUGCAUUUGGAACUGUCAAGCUAGAGUAUCGGAGAGGUAAGUGGAAUUCCUAGUGUAGCGGUGAAAUGCGUAAAUAUUAGGAGGAACACCAGUGGCGAAGGCGGCUUACUG
rnacentral:rRNA from 1 species